UCGGAACAAAAUCAUCAUUUCAUGGGUGAACGAACCGCUGGCGAUACUAAAUGGGAUACCAUAGAUGCCAGAAUUCUUGGACAAAUGUGGAAUUCUAUGGAAUCUCAUGUGGCUGCCUUGGUUACACAUGUCAUUACGGUUAAGGAUUUGUGGGAUUAUUUGAAUGUCCUUACUCUGGAGAAAAUAAUCUAUCAAGGAUCUAUGAAGUUUCUCGGGA